AGGAUUCUGGGUGAUAAGCUGUAUCUUCUGGGUUCACUUCAACCCUUCAGAGUCUCCAAAUACACAUGGAAACCGAUGCUAACUUUUUGAAUGAAUUGUAGAAGAGGAGAACGUGGUGUGUUUUUAUCAUCCCCAAAGGAACCAAAAGGUUCUAACCAGUCGAGCAAGAGACGUGACAGCAUCUGCAGCAUUUGUUCUCUGAGACCACGAUGAUCUCUCUCACAACUGGGGUUAUCUGAGGUCUCCUGCCUAUCUCCAAGGGUGGCUGAGGAAGCAAACAAGCAACAAAACAUUGUCCUGAUGACUGAAAGGUGCUGUGUAUCUCAGAAAGGUUGAGCCUCCCUGGAUGGAU
rnacentral:lncRNA from 1 species